ensembl:lncRNA
UUUAUUAGGGCUCAAGCCUGGAGGGCGAGAGCCCUAUUGUUUUCCUUAGGAUUAUUUUUUAUUAUUAUUAUUAUUAUUAUUAGGGCUCAAGCCUGGAGGGCGAAGAGCCCUAUUGUUUUCCUUAGGAUUAUUUUUUUUUUUUUUUUUCUUUAUUCUUCUAAUUUUUUUCCAAGGUUUCGGGGGCUUUUGGGGCCCUUAACAUGCUCAAAAACUCUUGAAAAUUGGCACACACCUUGGAAUCUGCGGCCAUUAGGGCCGGGCAGAGACUGAUACACGGGCACUGCCAUAGAGUUACUGUAAAUGCAUGUGCCCGCUGGGCACAGUUUUCCUGAUGCCACCGGGGCGGCGUUUGCACUGAUGGCUUGAGCCCGCCAUCGCUGCUUGCAGCUAUAUUUAUUAUUAUUAUUAUUAUUAGGGCUCAAGCCUGGAGGGCGAAGAGCCCUAUUGUUUUCCUUAGGAUUAUUUUUUUUUUUUUUCUUUCUUUAUUCCUCUAAUUUUUUUCCAAGGGUUCGGGGGCUUUUGAGGCCCUUAACAUGCUUAAAAAGUCUUGAAAAUUGGCACACACCUUGGAAUCUGCGGCCAUUAGGGCCGGGCAGAGACUGAUACACGGGCGUGGCACAGGGGCUCUACAGCGCCCCCUGGAAUAUUGAGGGCCAUAUAUCAUCCAUACUUGCGCGUAUACAUAUGAAACUCAGUACACAUGUAGAUCUCAUCAAACCAAACAACUUUCACACUGCAUGUCAUAAGCUCCGCCCAACAGGAAGUUGGCUAUUUAGGGUUUUGUGAAAAACACAUGCUCUGGAAUUUGAUAUACUCCUCUGAGGAACUCCACCCGUUCGCCACAAAACUCGGUGAACAUGAUCUCAAGACAUUGGGGAUGCUAAAUUGCGAAGAUAUUUUUGAUAUCUCGAACGGUUUGUCC